rnacentral:rRNA from 1 species
UACAGAGACCUCAAACGUUAUCCGGAAUUAUUGGGCGUAAAGCGUACCGACAGGUGGUUAAGUAAGCCAAGCGUGAAAUAUCCGAGCUCAACUCGGGGACUGUCGUUUGGAACUGCUUGACUAGAGGGACAAAGAGGAAGCUGGAACCAGCGGUGUAGUAGUGAAAUGCGUUGAUAUCGCUGGGAACACCGAUAGCGAAGGCGGGCUUCUGGGUGUCACCUGACACUGCUAGGACGAAAGCGUGGGGAGCGAAUGGG